rnacentral:rRNA from 1 species
UAAAGGCAUGGUCCUGACCUUAUUAUUAGCUUUAACCCAACUUACACAUGCAAGUCUCCGCAACCCCGUGAGUAUGCCCUUAAUCCCCCAUCCGGGGACGAGGAGCGGGCAUCAGGCACAAAUUUUU